rnacentral:rRNA from 1 species
UACGGAAGGCAGCAGUGGGGAAUAUUGGACAAUGGGCGCAAGCCUGAUCCAGCCAUGCCGCGUGUGUGAAGAAGGCCUUCGGGUUGUAAAGCACUUUUGUCCGGAAAGAAAAGCUUAGGGUUAAUAACCUUGAGUCAUGACGGUACCGGAAGAAUAAGCACCGGCUAACUUCGUGCCAGCAGCCGCGGUAAUACGAAGGGUGCAAGCGUUACUCGGAAUUACUGGGCGUAAAGCGUGCGUAGGUGGUUUGUUAAAGUCUGAUGUGAAAGCCCUGGGCUCAACCUGGGAAUGGCAUUAGAAACUGGCUUACUAGAGUGCGGUAGAGGGGUGUGGAAUUCCCGGUGUAGCAGUGAAAUGCGUAGAUAUCGGGAGGACAUCUGUGGCGAAGGCGACGACCCUGGGACCAGCACUGACACUGAGGCACGAAAGCGUGGGGAGCAAACGAGGGAUUAGAUA